UACGUAGGGUGCAAGCGUUGUCCGGAAUUAUUGGGCGUAAAGAGCUCGUAGGCGGUUUGUCGCGUCGGCUGUGAAAACCUGGGGCUCAACCCCGGGCCUGCAGCCGAUACGGGCAAACUAGAAUUCGGUAGGGGAGACUGGAAUUCCUGGUGUAGCGGUGAAAUGCGCAGAUAUCAGGAGGAACACCGGUGGCGAAGGCGGGUCUCUGGGCCGAUAUUGACGCUGAGGAGCGAAGGUCAGGGGAGCAAACGGG
rnacentral:rRNA from 1 species